GUUCGGAGUCGAGUGUUCCGGUUCUCUAUUUUCAAUUUUGAAAGAAUUUGUUAAGUUUUAUUCAACCGAAAUUUGAUUGGGUUAGCGAAGUUUUCAUCUAACAUGUUAGCAGUUGGUGUAGGCAAUUGAAUAGAAUAUUCUUUGAAGUUAGCGUUCCUCCAUCCGAGUGCAAUAUGCACGCGCUCCAGCAACAUAUUCAUUUUUUCGGAUGAGCGCGGGCAGGAAAAGGGUGCCUGGAUUCAAAAGUCGCUGUUGGCAGCCAGGUCUUCACCGCCCCAGUGGCCUAAUGGACAAGGCACCGGCCUCCUAAGCCGGGGAUUGUGGGUUCGAGUCCCAUCUGGGGUACUGUCCGAUAUCUUUUUGCCACUGGUUGCGGUGCGUCUAUAAAGGUGCAUAAAGAAUGGCCCUUAUUCUGCGCCGCGCAUGAGGUGACGAUUGUCACCUCACCUCGAGUCACCGUGAGAUUUGUCACCUUAUUCCCGGAGUCUGUGUGGGUGAAGUGACAGGUGCUCAUUUGUGGGUGAGUGACCAAAUGAACUUAUGUGUCUAACCGGCUUGGUUUGUUUUGUUUUGUAAGCGCUUUCAAACUUUUAAAUUAGUUUUUAAUUCAACUAGUAAGAUUUUCGGUUCGGAAAAGGCUACCGUCGAAUUGCACGAUCUAAGCAAGGCAUUCAAGCUAGAUAAGAAGUUCAGAAGUGCAGCGGAUGGUGUGAAAACAUAACCAUGUAGUUGGCUGAUACGAUGAUACCCAGAGGAAAAUAUGCAAAACGAAUGCAGGAGUCGUCGGCUGCUGUCCCGACAAACCGGUAUUGUAUUGUCCCUGGAUAAGAAAGGAUUUAACAACAAGGGUGAAUUGAAGGUGGCAGGUUUUGUUAGCAUAAUGGAAUGCCGCCGAAAAUUGGAAGCAACCGGACAACCUAUCGGCUAUCAGAUGCGGAUGCGAUCCAGGAAACAUGUUCGUCAGAAAGCCUCAGUUCCAGGCUUCUAUGGAUCCAACUGGAGAUGGGCAAAACUGGAGAUGAUCACUCGUUGAAAGGAUUAUAUUAUCAUCAACACCUUCAUACCAAUAUUGUGCUAUUAUUGUAAAAUUUAAAUUUGGAUUUUGAUUUCUAAAAUAAAUAACUUUAUACAUGCAGAAACAAACUUUAGAUUUGGAUUCGAAAAUCAGCUCUUUAAAUCAUCUUCAUUACAAUCAUCUUUUUACAAAUCAUCUUUUUCAUUACAAAUUUUUUUUUCACGGGGUGAAAAAAAUUGAUUUUCUUGAAAAAGGUAAAUAAGUUUAUCUGGGUUUUCUAAAAAUUGCCAUUGUUGUCUGUGGUGAACUAUUUAGAGCCUAACUAAGUUUGCUUUAUGAAAAAUUUUCAUUGAAUUUCUAUCUUGUCACCACCUGAAAAGGUACCGACAAUUGUCACCUAAAAUCGUCACCCGAAUGCGACGAUUCUCACCCACGGUGACUACGAGAAUAGGGUAAGAACUCACAAAGUUCAUCCGAAGUGACAAUCCUCACCUAAACCGACUACGGGAAUAGAGUGACUUGGGUGACUCGACUAUCGUCACGUCACUCGAGGCGCAGAAUAA